rnacentral:rRNA from 1 species
AUGUAUGGUCAUACCAGUCUGAGUAUGCCUGAUCUCACCAGCUCCCAGAAGUUAAGCAAUAUCAGGCUUGGUCAGUACAUGAAUGGGAAACUCACAGUUCCCUAGAAACUGUCAUC